rnacentral:rRNA from 1 species
CCUACGGGGGCAGCAGUGGGGAAUAUUGGACAAUGGGCGCAAGCCUGAUCCAGCCAUACCGCGUGGGUGAAGAAGGCCUUCGGGUUGUAAAGCCCCUUUGUUGGGAAAGCGGUACCCAAAGAAUAAGCACCGGCUAACUUCGUGCCAGCAGCCGCGGUAAUACGAAGGGUGCAAGCGUUACUCGGAAUUACUGGGCGUAAAGCGUGCGUAGGUGGUUGUUUAAGUCUGUUGUGAAAGCCCUGGGCUCAACCUGGGAAUUGCAGUGGAUACUGGGCGACUAGAGUGUGGUAGAGGGUAGUGGAAUUCCCGGUGUAGCAGUGAAAUGCGUAGAGAUCGGGAGGAACAUCCAUGGCGAAGGCAGCUACCUGGACCAAACUGACACUGAGGCACGAAAGCGUGGGGAGCAAACAGGAUUAGAUACCCUGGUAGUC